rnacentral:lncRNA from 1 species
CCUGGCGAGUUGAUUCCAGGGCACAGGGAUCGGGCAAAAAGUCAAUGGGCAGCAGGUGAGGUUGCGGCUGUGCUCUCCUUCCAGUCGACUCUCUCCUCCGAAGAGAACAGAGCUGCCCCUCGUCUUUCAGCCCAGCUCUCCUGUUUUCUCAGCACCUCAGCGGGACAAGAAAGACAGAGCCUGCCAGAACCAAGGUUCAGAAGACUUAAUUUGAAGCUAGAAGAUUGCUAAUGACUUCUGUUUAUAGAGCACUGCGAACUGAGAUCACUAGGUAUGCAUCAAAACUAAUGAAAAUAAAAUGUUUUGUCACAGAACA